UUAAACAUUGUUACGUCUAAUCAUUAAGUAACGUUGUUCCUACACUGAUCAGCUCACACAGCUCCCAAACACAGACAUGGGAACAGAUGACAGUGGUGGAAAAUAUGUCAAAAGGGAUGGCGAGGAUAUGUCUGACGAUUGUAUAGACACAUUCUUAUUGCUGAUAGAACUGUAGUGAUUUAUUCGGCUGCUUUUUCAAGGUUCCAUCUUUUAUAGACAUGUAGAAUCUACAUGUACAUGUAUGUCAUCAUGACGAAGUUCAAAGAAUAUAUUUUGAAAUAUUGAAAUGUUUUGAUUAAUAAAUAUUCAACAAUU
rnacentral:lncRNA from 1 species